rnacentral:rRNA from 1 species
CCCCUACGGGACGCAGCAGUGGGGAAUAUUGCGCAAUGGGGGCAACCCUGACGCAGCAACGCCGCGUGAUUGAAGAAGGCCUUCGGGUUGUAAAGAUCUUUAAUCGGGGACGAAUUUUGACGGUACCCGAAGAAUAAGCUCCGGCUAACUACGUGCCAGCAGCCGCGGUAAUACGUAGGGAGCAAGCGUUAUCCGGAUUUAUUGGGUUUAAAGGGUGCGUAGGCGGACUGUCAAGUCAGCGGUAAAAUACGGGGGCUCAACCUCCGCCCGCCGUUGAAACUGACGGUCUUGAGUGGGCGAGAAGU